GAUGAACGCUGGCGGCGUGCCUAAUACAUGCAAGUCGAGCGAAUGGAUUAAGAGCUUGCUCUUAUGAAGUUAGCGGCGGACGGGUGAGUAACACGUGGGUAACCUGCCCAUAAGACUGGGAUAACUCCGGGAAACCGGGGCUAAUACCGGAUAACAUUUUGAACCGCAUGGUUCGAAAUUGAAAGGCGGCUUCGGCUGUCACUUCUGGAUGGACCCGGGUCGCAUUAGCUAGUUGGUGAGGUAACGGCUCACAAAGGCAACGAUGCGUAGCCGACCUGAGAGGGUGAUCGGCCACACUGGGACUGAGACACGGCCCAGACUCCUACGGGAGGCAGCAGUAGGGAAUCUUCCGCAAUGGACGAAAGUCUGACGGAGCAACGCCGCGUGAGUGGUGAAGGCUUUCGGGUCGUAAAACUCUGUUGUUAGGGAAGAACAAGUGCUAGUUGAAUAAGCUGACACCUUGACGGUACCUAACCAGAAAGCCACGGCUAACUACGUGCCAGCCGCCGCGGUAA
rnacentral:rRNA from 1 species